rnacentral:rRNA from 1 species
UGGGGAAUAUUGCGCAAUGGGGGCAACCCUGACGCAGCCAUGCCGCGUGAGUGAUGAAGGCCCUAGGGUUGUAAAGCUCUUUCACCGGUGAAGAUAAUGACGGUAACCGGAGAAGAAGCCCCGGCUAACUACGUGCCAGCAGCCGCGGUAAUACGUAGGGACCAAGCGUUGUUCGGAUUUACUGGGCGUAAAGGGCGCGUAGGCGGCAUGACAAGUCACUUGUGAAAUCUCUGGGCUUAACCCAGAACGGCCAAGUGAUACUGUCGCGCUAGAGUGCAGAAGGGGCAAUCGGAAUUCUUGGUGUAGCGGUGAAAUGCGUAGAUAUCAAGAGGAACACCUGAGGUGAAGACGGGUUGCUGGGCUCGAUACUGACACUGAGGUGCGAAAGCGUGGGGAGCAAACAGGAUUAGAUACCCCUGUAGUCCCUGAGCGGGCUGGCAAGGCGCAU